ACGGGUGAGUAACACGUGGGCAACCUGCCCUUGAGACUGGGAUAACUUCGGGAAACCGGAGCUAAUACCGGAUAAUACAAGGAACCUCCUGGUUCCUUGUUGAAAGAUGGUUUCGGCUAUCACUUAAGGAUGGGCCCGCGGCGCAUUAGCUAGUUGGUGAGGUAACGGCUCACCAAGGCGACGAUGCGUAGCCGACCUGAGAGGGUGAUCGGCCACACUGGGACUGAGACACGGCCCAGACUCCUACGGGAGGCAGCAGUAGGGAAUCUUCCACAAUGGACGAAAGUCUGAUGGAGCAACGCCGCGUGAGUGAUGAAGGCCUUCGGGUCGUAAAGCUCUGUUGUUAGGGAAGAACAAGUGCGAGAGUAACUGCUCGCACCUUGACGGUACCUAACCAGAAAGCCACGGCUAACUACGUGCCAGCAGCCGCGGUAAUACGUAGGUGGCAAGCGUUAUCCGGAAUUAUUGGGCGUAAAGCGCGCGCAGGUGGUUUCUUAAGUCUGAUGUGAAAGCCCACGGCUCAACCGUGGAGGGUCAUUGGAAACUGGGGAACUUGAGUGCAGAAGAGGAAAGUGGAAUUCCAAG
rnacentral:rRNA from 1 species